CAUGCAGUCGAACGAUGAACCACAUUCGGUGGGGAUUAGUGGCGAACGGGUGAGUAACACGUGGGCAAUCUGCCCUGCACUCUGGGACAAGCCCUGGAAACGGGGUCUAAUACCGGAUACUGACCCGCUUGGGCAUCCAAGCGGUUCGAAAGCUCCGGCGGUGCAGGAUGAGCCCGCGGCCUAUCAGCUUGUUGGUGAGGUAAUGGCUCACCAAGGCGACGACGGGUAGCCGGCCUGAGAGGGCGACCGGCCACACUGGGACUGAGACACGGCCCAGACUCCUACGGGAGGCAGCAGUGGGGAAUAUUGCACAAUGGGCGAAAGCCUGAUGCAGCGACGCCGCGUGAGGGAUGACGGCCUUCGGGUUGUAAACCUCUUUCAGCAGGGAAGAAGCGAAAGUGACGGUACCUGCAGAAGAAGCGCCGGCUAACUACGUGCCAGCAGCCGCGGUAAUACGUAGGGCGCGAGCGUUGUCCGGAAUUAUUGGGCGUAAAGAGCUCGUAGGCGGCUUGUCACGUCGGUUGUGAAAGCCCGGGGCUUAACCCCGGGUCUGCAGUCGAUACGGGCAGGCUAGAGUUCGGUAGGGGAGAUCGGAAUUCCUGGUGUAGCGGUGAAAUGCGCAGAUAUCAGGAGGAACACCGGUGGCGAAGGCGGAUCUCUGGGCCGAUACUGACGCUGAGGAGCGAAAGCGUGG
rnacentral:rRNA from 2 species